rnacentral:lncRNA from 1 species
AAGGAACAGGAGGUUCGGAAGCUGAAAGCCGGGAGUUUGUCGGCUUUGGGAGCCGGUGGUUAGUACUGUCAAUUCGGUCGAAAUCGAAUAAUCAAAUUCGUUCGAAUUCAAGUGGUUCGCCGCCCCGCCUGUGGUGGUUGAAAUGAAAAGUGAAAAAAGAAUGUAAAUUUUGUGACUGGUAAUAAAUGAGGGAUGCUAAUAAGUUGUCCUUUAGCUUGGCUAUGAUUGGUCAAGUUCUUUUUCAAUAAUACAAUAAUAAACCUCAAAUUCUCACCAAGUAAUAUUUAACACAGCUG